CUCAAAGCCUCGCUGCUCUUUACCUCUGAUGGUUCCAUAGGGUUCGAUGUCUCGCAGCGAUGUCUCUGAAGAGACAACAGAGAAAGGCAAAUAAAGGAUGGGGAUUCACUAACCUUGUCUGACAAAGCACAUGGCUUGUCAGUAAUGUUUGGACAUCAAGAAGCAGAAUGUUUCAGAGAACCAGGAGAACAUUCAUCAUUACAUUGUAGUAUCAGCUGAAUUCUCGCCGUUCUCCCCCCACAUGGCAAAGAAAAUGAAGAUGAAUUAGUACAACUGGCUGCUGUGGUUUGAUAGGAACCAGAAGAAGCUAACUGGAAUGAGCAAGCGGGAGCUUGUGGUGGCGGGGCCAGGCUGCCGGGCAGCCCUGCAGUCGCGUGCCCCUCUGCAGAGCCUGCCGUGGUCGGCUCCAUCUCUUCUCCCCCAGUUCCUUGAACUGACUUAAUGUUAGCCAGGGAACGUGAUGAGUGGUAGGAGGGAAAGCAGCUUUCUUCCUGCUGGGUGUUGUCUUGUUACUGGGCACCUGGCUGGUGGGGUCCUAAUUUCUAGUUAGGGUCCCAGCCGGUAAAAGUCAGGAUUGCACCGUGGGCUCCCAUGAAAUGACACUACUUUACACCAGACUUAUUUCUUCAGACCUUGUUUUCCUCCCUUCUUUCCUCGGGAAAAGUUUUCUAAUCCUUAAGCAGAGGGUAUUUCAGAGGGCUCGGAGCAUGGCAUGGGC